UACGUAGGGGGCAAGCGUUGUCCGGAUUUAUUGGGCGUAAAGAGCGUGUAGGCGGUUUGGUAGGUCCGUUGUGAAAACUCGAGGCUCAACCUCGAGACGCCGAUGGAAACCAUCAGACUAGAGUCCGGAAGAGGAGAGUGGAAUUCCUGGUGUAGCGGUGGAAUGCGCAGAUAUCAGGAGGAACACCGGUGGCGAAGGCGGGUCUCUGGGCCGUUACUGACGCUGAGGAGCGAAAGCAUGGGGAGCGAACAGG
rnacentral:rRNA from 1 species